AGGCGGGUCAGUAAGUCAGGGGUGAAAGUUUGCGGCUUAACCGUAAAAUUGCCUUUGAUACUGCUGGUCUUGAGUUGCGGUGAAGUGGCUGGAAUAUGUGGUGUAGCGGUGAAAUGCAUAGAUAUCACAUAGAACACCGACUGCGAAGGCAGGUCACUAACCGCCGACUGACGCUGAUGGACGAAAGCGCGGGGAGCGAACGGGAUUAGAUACCCCGGUAGUCCACGCCGUAAACGAUGGACACUAGCUGUCGGGCCUAUUGUAGGUUCGGUGGCUAAGCGAAAGUGAUAAGUGUCCCACCUGGGGAGUACGUCGGCAACGAUGAAACUCAAAGGAAUUGACGGGGGCCCGCACAAGCGGUGGAGCAUGUGGUUUAAUUCGAUGAUACGCGAGGAACCUUACCAGGGCUUAAAUGUAGUGGGACAGGCUUAGAGAUAGGCUUUUCUUCGGACUCAUUACAAGGUGCUGCAUGGUUGUCGUCAGCUCGUGCCGUGAGGUGUCAGGUUAAGUCCUAUAACGAGCGCAACCCCUACCGUUAGUUGCCAGCGAGUAAAGUCGGGGACUCUAACGGAACUGCCGGUGCAAACCGCGAGGAAGGUGGGGAUGACGUCAAAUCAUCACGGCCCUUACGUCCUGGGCUACACACGUGCUACAAUGGCCGGUACAAUGAGCAGCCACGUCGCAAGGCGGAGCGAAUCUAUAAAACCNGGUCACAGUUCGGAUCGGGGUCUGCAACCCGACCCCGGAAGCUGGAAUCGCUAG
rnacentral:rRNA from 1 species